GUAAGGAAUAUUGCUCAAUGGGGGAAACCCUGAAGCAGCAACGCCGUGUGAGGGAUGAAGGGCUUUUGCUUGUAAACCUCUGUAGUGAGGGAAAAAACUUCCACUCUGUGGAAUAUGAUGGUACCUCAAAAGUAAGCCCCGGCUAACUACGUGCCAGCAGCCGCGGUAAUACGUAGGGGGCAAACGUUGUCCGGAUUUACUGGGUGUAAAGGGUGCUCAGGCGGUUUUGUAAGUCAGAAGUGAAAUCCUAGGGCUUAACUCUGGAACUGCUUUUGAUACUGCAAGGCUUGAAUGUGGAAGAGGAGGAUGGAAUUUCUGGUGUAGCAGUGAAAUGCGUAGAUAUCAGAAAGAACACCAGUGGCGAAGGCGGUCCUCUGGUCCACUAUUGACGCUAAAGCACGAAAGCGUGGGGAGCAAACAGGAUUAGAAACCCCAGUAGUCC
rnacentral:rRNA from 1 species